rnacentral:rRNA from 1 species
CCUGGCGGCCAUAGCGCGGUGGCACCACCUGAACCCAUGCCGAACUCAGAAGUGAAACGCCGUAGCGCCGAUGGUAGUGUGGGGUCUCCCCAUGCGAGAGUAGGACACUGCCAGGU